GAUGAACGCUGGCGGCGUGCCUAAUACAUGCAAGUCGAGCGAACAGACGAGGAGCUUGCUCCUCUGACGUUAGCGGCGGACGGGUGAGUAACACGUGGAUAACCUACCUAUAAGACUGGGAUAACUUCGGGAAACCGGAGCUAAUACCGGAUAAUAUAUUGAACCGCAUGGUUCAAUAGUGAAAGACGGUUUUGCUGUCACUUAUAGAUGGAUCCGCGCCGCAUUAGCUAGUUGGUAAGGUAACGGCUUACCAAGGCAACGAUGCGUAGCCGACCUGAGAGGGUGAGCGGCAAUAGAGGAGAGACGACGCGGAGCAGACUCCGAGGGGAGGCAGUAGUAGGGAAUCCGCCGUAAGGGGCGAAAGGCCGAAGGAGCAACGCGGGGGGAGUGAAGAAGUUCGGCGGAUCGUAAAACGUUGUUAGGAGGGAAGAAAAAAUGAGGAAGUAACGAAGCACGUGUUGACAGUAACUAAUCAGAAAACCGCGGAUAACUAC
rnacentral:rRNA from 1 species